GGGGAUAUGGCGGAAUGGUAGACGCAGCGGACUCAAAAUCCGUUGGUUUCGCAAGACCGUGAGGGUUCGACUCCCUCUAUCCCCA
rnacentral:tRNA from 3 species